rnacentral:rRNA from 1 species
GAGGUAAUGGCCCACCAAGCCGACGAUCGGUAGCCGGACUGAGAGGUUGAACGGCCACAUUGGGACUGAGACACGGCCCAGACUCCUACGGGAGGCAGCAGUGGGGAAUAUUGCACAAUGGGGGAAACCCUGAUGCAGCGACGCCGCGUGGAGGAAGAAGGUCUUCGGAUUGUAAACUCCUGUUGUUGAGGAAGAUAAUGACGGUACUCAACAAGGAAGUGACGGCUAACUACGUGCCAGCAGCCGCGGUAAAACGUAGGUCACAAGCGUUGUCCGGAAUUACUGGGUGUAAAGGGAGCGCAGGCGGGAAGACAAGUUGGAAGUGAAAUCCAUGGGCUCAACCCAUGAACUGCUUUCAAAACUGUUUUUCUUGAGUAGUGCAGAGGUAGGCGGAAUUCCCGGUGUAGCGGUGGAAUGCGUAGAUAUCGGGAGGAACACCAGUGGCGAAGGCGGCCUACUGGGCACCAACUGACGCUGAGGCUCGAAAGUGUGGGUAGCAAACAGGAUUAGAUACCCUGGUAGUCCACACUGUAAACGAUGAUAAGGAGGUGUUGGAGGAUUGACCCCUUCAGUGCCGC